rnacentral:misc_RNA from 1 species
UCCUGCUGAUCCUGUUUACCUACUACCCGAUUGUCUCGGCGCUGUCUCACUCCUUUACCGAGUGGAAGGGCAGCGGCAAUGCCGCCUGGAUCGGCAUGGACAACUUCCGGGAGAUGUUACGCGACGAUAUCCUGCUGGAUUCGGUCGGAAACAUGACCAAACUGCUUCUGGCGGGAAUCGUCAUCUCGCUCACCGUGCCGCUGGCCGUUGCGGAGCUGAUCUUUGCGCUGCGCAGUGAGCGCGCCCAGUAUCUCUACCGGGUGCUGUUUGUGAUCCCGAUGGUCGUG